rnacentral:rRNA from 1 species
UACGUAGGGGGCAAGCGUUGUCCGGAUUCAUUGGGCGUAAAGAGCGUGUAGGCGGCCAGGUAGGUCGGUUGUGAAAACUGGAGGCUCAACCUUCAGAGGUCGACCGAAACCAUCUGGCUAGAGUCCGGAGAGGAGAGUGGAAUUCCGUGGUGUAGCGGUGAAAUGCGCAGAUAUCAGGAAGAACACCGAUGGCGAAGGCAGGUCUCUGGGCAUUAACUGACGCUGAGGAGCGAAAGCAUGGGGAGCGAACAGG